rnacentral:lncRNA from 1 species
CUCAGUGUUGGGCCAAAGUGGGUAUUCAUUCAAAAAGUCACACAUCGAGUAAUUGGAAGAAAAAAGAAGUAGAAAGUUAUUAUAAACAUGAAGAGUUAUAUUGAGUUUUGUUCACUACAACAACUCUAGCUACAAGAAAAUAUAGAGAUAGCGACACUCAAUAUGAGGCGCUAUCAAGGGAACCGCCACCGCUCUGGUCAAUACCGACGGUUAUUGCGGCAUUCAUUCAACUGCUUAUGCUGGUUGUAAAUUUCGGCGGUUUCGUGUGUAUUGUGGCGGCGGUAUUAGUGUGUACAGCGGCGGCUAAAUUAGNNNNNNNNNNNNNAUCACUCACGUUUCGAUUCACGUUUUCUUCAAGCUUCAGAUUCACGAUUCACAAUUUACCUUCAAUCAAGCUUCAAAAUCCAGGUUCAUUUGGGUCUUUAUUGUUCUUCAAUUAUGUGGAAUUUGAGUGUUUUUGUUUUUGUGUAUUUUGCUUCUGAGAUCAUAAAGUUAAUCUUUUUAUAAUAUGAAUUCAAAUGGGUCUUUAUUGUUCUUCAAUAUGUGGAAAUGGGUUGUUUUUAUUUGUGUUUUUUGCAUCUAAGAUGAUAAAUUUAGUGAUUUUAGUCUCUUUACUUUCAAUUAUGCAGAAAUGAGAUGCUUUAAUUUUGUUUGUUUUACAUCCAAGAUCAUAUAUUUAGUCUUCUUAUUUUCUGAAUUUAAAUGGGUGUUAAUUAGUUUUCCUUCCAAGAAAUGAAACCUUUCUGAGUUAUGCAGAAAAGUUCUUACUUUGUUAUGAUUUUGAUUUUCUGUUCUAAUUGCUUGUGGUGUUGCUGAAUCAGGGUUGUGAUGCUUCACUGCUGUUGGAGGAUCGAAACAGAUUCUAAACCUAUAAGAAUAGAUCUAUUCUUAUAGGUUUAGG